rnacentral:rRNA from 1 species
AGAAUCAACGCUGGCGGCGUGCCUAACACAUGCAAGUCGAACGAGGAAGUGGAGCAAUCCAUGAGUAAAGUGGCGCACGGGUGAGUAACACGUGACUAACCUACCCUCGAGUGGGGAAUAACUUCGGGAAACCGAGGCUAAUACCGCAUAAAACCUAAGGGUCAAAGGAGCAAUCCGUUUGAGGAGGGGGUCGCGGCAGAUUAGUUAGUUGGCGGGGUAAUGGCCCACCAAGACGAUGAUCUGUAUCCGGCCUGAGAGGGCGCACGGACACACUGGAACUGAAACACGGUCCAGACUCCUACGGGAGGCAGCAGUGGGGAAUUUUGCGCAAUGGGGGAAACCCUGACGCAGCAACGCCGCGUGGAGGAUGAAAUCCCUUGGGAUGUAAACUCCUUUCGAUCGGGAAGAUAAUGACGGUACCGGAGAAGAAGCCCCGGCUAACUUCGCGCCAGCAGCCGC